AGAGCUGAAUUUAUGACUAGUAUGCAAGCUCACUUUGGCGGUGUAAGGCAUAUUGUUGACUUCAGACCAGUUCAUGAAGCUAGGUUGGGUCUGCCCACCGAUAUUCUGGGUACUUGUCGUAGACUGAGGCAUGUGCGGCUGCUGUUGUUGAGUAUGGUGAUUACCACAUUGGACAAAUGACUGCGGUUGGGGAGGGAAAUGUGGACGCGCCCCCCUGCUUCCAUUUGCAGCUGACAUUUGACCAGCUGUUAUCUUUAGAUGCUGCAGUUCUUCUCGUAAAGCUUCAUUCAGAGCUGGAAAUUAUUCACACACAUAUGUCAAUACAAUAGAUAGCAGUGAAAAUUAUACUACUUAUUAAGUUAUUAUAAGACAUACCGUCUCUAAGAUGGGCUUGUUGUUCCAAA